rnacentral:rRNA from 1 species
GAUGAACGCUGGCGGCGUGCCUAAUACAUGCAAGUCGAGCGAACGGACGAGAAGCUUGCUUCUCUGAUGUUAGCGGCGGACGGGUGAGUAACAUGUGGAUAACCCACCUAUAAGACUGGGAUAACUUAGGGAAACCGGAGCUAAUACUGGAUGAUAUCUUGAACCGCAUGGUUCAAAAGUGAAAGACGGUCUUGCUGUCACUUAUAGAUGGAACCGCGCUGCAUUAGCUAGUUGGUAAGGUAACGGCUUACCAAGGCAACGAUGCAUAGCCGACCGGGGAGGGUGAUCGGCCACACUGGAACUGAGACACGGUCCAGACUCCUACGGGAGGCAGCAGUAGGGAAGCUUGCGCAAUGGGCGGAAGCCUGACGGAGCGACGCCGCGUGGGUGAUGAAGGUCUUCGGAUCGUAAAACUCUGUUAUUGGGGAAAAACAUAUGUGUAAGUAACUGUGCACAUCUUGACGGUACCUAAACAGAAAGCCACGGCUAACUACGUG